UACCUACGGGAGGCAGCAGUGGGGAAUUUUGGACAAUGGGGGCAACCCUGAUCCAGCCAUGCCGCGUGAGUGAAGAAGGCCUUCGGGUUGUAAAGCUCUUUCGGCCGGGAAGAAAUCGUGCAGGCUAAUACCCCGUAUGGAUGACGGUACCGGAAUAAGAAGCACCGGCUAACUACGUGCCAGCAGCCGCGGUAAUACGUAGGGUGCGAGCGUUAAUCGGAAUUACUGGGCGUAAAGCGUGCGCAGGCGGUUUUGUAAGACAGGCGUGAAAUCCCCGGGCUCAACCUGGGAACUGCGCUUGUGACUGCAAGACUAGAGUACGGCAGAGGGGGGUGGAAUUCCACGUGUAGCAGUGAAAUGCGUAGAGAUGUGGAGGAACACCAAUGGCGAAGGCAGCCCCCUGGGUCGAUACUGACGCUCAUGCACGAAAGCGUGGGGAGCAAACAGGAUUAGAUACCCUUGUAGUCU
rnacentral:rRNA from 1 species